rnacentral:rRNA from 1 species
AGCUCCAAUAGCGUAUAUUAAAGUUGUUGCAGUUAAAAAGCUCGUAGUCGGAUUUCGGGUCGGGCCGAGCGGUCUGCCGAUGGGUAUGCACUGUUCGGCGCGGCCUUCUUUCCGGAGACCGCGGCUACUCUUAACUGAGCGGGCGUGGGAGACGGAUCGUUUACUUUGAAAAAAUCAGAGUGUUUCAAGCAGGCAGCUCGCUCUUGCAUGGAUUAGCAUGGGAUAAUGAAAUAGGACUUUGGUGCUAUUUUGUUGGUUUCGAACACCGAAGUAAUGAUUAACAGGGACAGUCAGGGGCACUCGUAUUCCGCCGAGAGAGGUGAAAUUCUCAGACCAGCGGAAGACGAACCACUGCGAAAGCAUUUGCCAGGGAUGUUUUCACUG